AGAGACACGAAUCGCACCACUAUUCGCACAAAAUGAACAAAAUCCAAAAUGAACCAAUCAUGUUCGACCAUUUCUCUGCCAACAUAGACGCAACCACACCCGAUAACGCAGUGUCUCACUAAACUCUCUUUGAAUCCCGCGGAAAAGCCUGUCCGAUUAAUCAGCUGCUUAGGGUUUUAGUUUGAGCACCAUCACCAAGUCGGAUCUCUUACAAAAAUCCGAUUCAUCAAAAGAAAUGAAGCAAAAACCGGAUCAGAUUCGAACAUCAAAGCUGCUCACCUAUCUUUUAAUCGCACUCAUCAUCUGUCUCGCUCUCAUUUGUUUAUACUACGGAUCCGCCGUCGCUCCGGCGCUCUCUCGACCCGACCGCUUCUCUUUUUCUAACGAAGGAUCCGACCCGGCUGAUAUUGAUGAUGAUGACCUGUUUCAAGAGCUCGUUCCGCAGAGCAUACCUAUCUGUGAUAUGAAUUACUCGGAGUUGAUACCUUGUUUGGAUAGAAAUCUUCAUUAUCACCUCAAAUUGAAGCUCAACUUGACCUUAAUGGAGCAUUAUGAAAGGCAUUGCCCGCCUGCUGACCGCCGUUUUAAUUGUCUGAUUCCCCCUCCCCUUGGUUACAAGAUUCCUAUAAGAUGGCCUGAGAGUAGAGAUGAGGUGUGGAAGAUUAAUAUUCCGCAUACGCAUCUUGCGCAAGAGAAAUCUGAUCAGAAUUGGAUGGUGGUUAAUGGUGAUAAAAUUAAUUUUCCUGGCGGUGGUACUCAUUUUCAUUAUGGUGCUGAUAAGUACAUUGCUUCUCUUGCUAGGAUGCUUAAGUUCCCGAAUGAUAAACUUUACAAUGAUGGGAAGGUUAGGAACGUCCUUGAUGUUGGUUGUGGGGUGGCGAGUUUUGGAGCUUAUCUUCUUGCCCAUGACAUUAUAGCUAUGUCCCUUGCACCUAAUGAUGUACAUGAGAAUCAGAUACAGUUUGCAUUGGAAAGAGGGAUUCCAUCAACUCUUGGUGUACUAGGAACGAAAAGACUUCCUUAUCCAAGUAGAGCUUUUGAACUCGCUCAUUGUUCCAGAUGUCGGAUUGAUUGGCUCCAGAGAGAUGGAAUUCUCUUACUAGAACUUGACAGAUUAUUGAGACCAGGAGGGUACUUUGCAUAUUCUUCUCCUGAAGCUUAUGCACAUGAUCCAGAAAAUCAAAGGAUUGGAAAUGCUAUGCAUGAUCUUUUUAAAAGAAUGUGUUGGAGGGUUGCUGCAAGGAAAGACCAGACUGUGAUAUGGCAAAAGUCCACCAGUAAUAGCUGCUUCUUGAAAAGAGAUCCGGGGGCUCAACCCCCUUUAUGCAGUUCUGAUGAUGACCCAGAUGCAACUUGGAAUGUGCACAUGAAAUCAUGCAUCUCUCCAUACUCAAAAAAGGUGCACAAAGAGAGAGGAAGCGGACUAGUUCCUUGGCCUAAGAGGCUAAUUGAGGCACCUCCUCGCUUGGAAGAGAUUGGCAUCAGUCCUGAAGAAUUUCAUGAGGACACUAAAAUAUGGCAAUUUAGAGUGAGCGAGUACUGGAAGCAGAUGAAAUCUGUUGUACGGAGGAGCUACUUUAGAAAUGUCAUGGAUAUGAACUCAAACCUUGGGGGGUUUGGUGCUGCUCUCAAAGACAUAGAUGUAUGGGUGAUGAAUGUUGCUCCAGUCAACCAGUCUGCUAGAUUGAAAAUUGUUUAUGACCGUGGCUUAAUCGGAACAGUUCAUGACUGGUGUGAAGCAUUUUCUACAUAUCCACGCACUUUUGAUCUUCUUCACGCCUGGGAAGUGUUUACCGAGAUUGAGGAGCGGGGGUGUAGCUCAGAAGAUCUGUUAACUGAGAUUGAUCGGAUACUGAGACCCCAAGGAUUUGUCAUUAUAAGAGACAAACCCUCUAUUAUAAACCAUAUCCGCAAAUUUUUGCCUGCCUUAAGGUGGGAUCAUUGGUUAUCCGAAGUUGAACCAAGGAGUGAUGCUCUUUCCGUGAAUGAAGAGCGAGUUUUGAUUGUGAGAAAGAAGUUAUGGAGUGGAGAAGUUUCAACCAUGUAGACGUUAUAGCAAGGUGUAUAUUUUUUCUAUUAUGUUUGUUUACUGAUGUGACAUUCUUUUCUUUCCCUAAAAAGUAAAUAAUGUGUUUUACCUGCAUGGUUUACGAUGGGUUGAAUUAGCCAACGACAAGUUAUGAAUAUGUCCUUGAAGGUACGACACUGCAAUUUUGGAGCUCUAAGCCGCAGGUGAUGCUAAUUGGAAAUUCAGACUAGUCUUCAGAUCUCCCAGUGACGGCAAGAUUCUCCCUACUGCAAUAUCAGGUCUACAAUAUUGUAGGCAAUUGUUAUAUAUGUGAAGCAAAUACAUGAGAUACGAGUUUGAAGACCAUUUCUUCUGAAGAAAAGGAGUAAAACAGGAAGUAAUAUUACUAAGGAUUGGUUGGAUCAUGAAUAAAAUAUGGAUUCUGUCUAGGUAAGAAUUUCUCACUAAGGAUGUUUUUCCGUAAUUUUCCGUAUUUAUUGGAAUGUAAUUGUUUAGACCCUGAUGGCACCUCACAGCUAAUCAUUUGAAAUAGUUAGAUUUCUUCUCUUGGAGUCUUUUUGUAGCAAAGACGGUUUGUAGGUAAAAAAGUAAACUUAAAUAUUGCCAUAAUUUGUGGAUUUUAUACAAUUUACUUCAGCGUGA